rnacentral:rRNA from 1 species
GGUUAAGCGACUAAGCGUACACGGUGGAUGCCUUGGCAGUCAGAGGCGAUGAAGGACGUGCUAAUCUGCGAUAAGCGUCGGUAAGGUGAUAUGAACCGUUAUAACCGGCGAUUUCCGAAUGGGGAAACCCAGUGUGUUUCGACACACUAUCAUUAACUGAAUCCAUAGGUUAAUGAGGCGAACCGGGGGAACUGAAACAUCUAAGUACCCCGAGGAAAAGAAAUCAACCGAGAUUCCCCCAGUAGCGGCGAGCGAACGGGGAGGAGCCCAGAGCCUGAAUCAGUGUGUGUGUUAGUGGAAGCGUCUGGAAAGGCGCGCGAUACAGGGUGACAGCCCCGUACACAAAAAUGCACAUGCUGUGAGCUCGAUGAGUAGGGCGGGACACGUGGUAUCCUGUCUGAAUAUGGGGGGACCAUCCUCCAAGGCUAAAUACUCCUGACUGACCGAUAGUGAACCAGUACCGUGAGGGAAAGGCGAAAAGAACCCCGGCGAGGGGAGUGAAAAAGAACCUGAAACCGUGUACGUACAAGCAGUGGGAGCACAGAGCAAUCUGUGUGACUGCGUACCUUUUGUAUAAUGGGUCAGCGACUUAUAUUCUGUAGCAAGGUUAACCGAAUAGGGGAGCCGAAGGGAAACCGAGUCUUAACUGGGCGUUAAGUUGCAGGGUAUAGACCCGAAACCCGGUGAUCUAGCCAUGGGCAGGUUGAAGGUUGGGUAACACUAACUGGAGGACCGAACCGACUAAUGUUGAAAAAUUAGCGGAUGACUUGUGGCUGGGGGUGAAAGGCCAAUCAAACCGGGAGAUAGCUGGUUCUCCCCGAAAGCUAUUUAGGUAGCGCCUCGUGAAUUCAUCUCCGGGGGUAGAGCACUGUUUCGGCAAGGGGGUCAUCCCGACUUACCAACCCGAUGCAAACUGCGAAUACCGGAGAAUGUUAUCACGGGAGACACACGGCGGGUGCUAACGUCCGUCGUGAAGAGGGAAACAACCCAGACCGCCAGCUAAGGUCCCAAAGUCAUGGUUAAGUGGGAAACGAUGUGGGAAGGCCCAGACAGCCAGGAUGUUGGCUUAGAAGCAGCCAUCAUUUAAAGAAAGCGUAAUAGCUCACUGGUCGAGUCGGCCUGCGCGGAAGAUGUAACGGGGCUAAACCAUGCACCGAAGCUGCGGCAGCGACACUGUGUGUUGUUGGGUAGGGGAGCGUUCUGUAAGCCUGUGAAGGUGUACUGUGAGGUAUGCUGGAGGUAUCAGAAGUGCGAAUGCUGACAUAAGUAACGAUAAAGCGGGUGAAAAGCCCGCUCGCCGGAAGACCAAGGGUUCCUGUCCAACGUUAAUCGGGGCAGGGUGAGUCGACCCCUAAGGCGAGGCCGAAAGGCGUAGUCGAUGGGAAACAGGUUAAUAUUCCUGUACUUGGUGUUACUGCGAAGGGGGGACGGAGAAGGCUAUGUUGGCCGGGCGACGGUUGUCCCGGUUUAAGCGUGUAGGCUGGUUUUCCAGGCAAAUCCGGAAAAUCAAGGCUGAGGCGUGAUGACGAGGCACUACGGUGCUGAAGCAACAAAUGCCCUGCUUCCAGGAAAAGCCUCUAAGCAUCAGGUAACAUCAAAUCGUACCCCAAACCGACACAGGUGGUCAGGUAGAGAAUACCAAGGCGCUUGAGAGAACUCGGGUGAAGGAACUAGGCAAAAUGGUGCCGUAACUUCGGGAGAAGGCACGCUGAUAUGUAGGUGAAGUCCCUCGCGGAUGGAGCUGAAAUCAGUCGAAGAUACCAGCUGGCUGCAACUGUUUAUUAAAAACACAGCACUGUGCAAACACGAAAGUGGACGUAUACGGUGUGACGCCUGCCCGGUGCCGGAAGGUUAAUUGAUGGGGUCAGCGCAAGCGAAGCUCUUGAUCGAAGCCCCGGUAAACGGCGGCCGUAACUAUAACGGUCCUAAGGUAGCGAAAUUCCUUGUCGGGUAAGUUCCGACCUGCACGAAUGGCGUAAUGAUGGCCAGGCUGUCUCCACCCGAGACUCAGUGAAAUUGAACUCGCUGUGAAGAUGCAGUGUACCCGCGGCAAGACGGAAAGACCCCGUGAACCUUUACUAUAGCUUGACACUGAACAUUGAGCCUUGAUGUGUAGGAUAGGUGGGAGGCUUUGAAGUGUGGACGCCAGUCUGCAUGGAGCCGACCUUGAAAUACCACCCUUUAAUGUUUGAUGUUCUAAUGUGGACCCGUGAUCCGGGUUGCGGACAGUGUCUGGUGGGUAGUUUGACUGGGGCGGUCUCCUCCUAAAGAGUAACGGAGGAGCACGAAGGUUGGCUAAUCCUGGUCGGACAUCAGGAGGUUAGUGCAAUGGCAUAAGCCAGCUUGACUGCGAGCGUGACGGCGCGAGCAGGUGCGAAAGCAGGUCAUAGUGAUCCGGUGGUUCUGAAUGGAAGGGCCAUCGCUCAACGGAUAAAAGGUACUCCGGGGAUAACAGGCUGAUACCGCCCAAGAGUUCAUAUCGACGGCGGUGUUUGGCACCUCGAUGUCGGCUCAUCACAUCCUGGGGCUGAAGUAGGUCCCAAGGGUAUGGCUGUUCGCCAUUUAAAGUGGUACGCGAGCUGGGUUUAGAACGUCGUGAGACAGUUCGGUCCCUAUCUGCCGUGGGCGCUGGAGAACUGAGGGGGGCUGCUCCUAGUACGAGAGGACCGGAGUGGACGCAUCACUGGUGUUCGGGUUGUCAUGCCAAUGGCACUGCCCGGUAGCUAAAUGCGGAAGAGAUAAGUGCUGAAAGCAUCUAAGCACGAAACUUGCCCCGAGAUGAGUUCUCCCUGACCCUUUAAGGGUCCUGAAGGAACGUUGAAGACGACGACGUUGAUAGGCCGGGUGUGUAAGCGCAGCGAUGCGUUGAGCUAACCGGUACUAAUGAACCGUGAGGCUUAACCUU